rnacentral:rRNA from 1 species
AUUGGUGCCUUCGGGAACUCUGACACAGGUGCUGCAUGGCUGUCGUCAGCUCGUGUCGUGAGAUGUUGGGUUAAGUCCCGUAACGAGCGCAACCCUUGUCCUUAGUUACCAGCACGUUAUGGUGGGCACUCUAAGGAGACUGCCGGUGACAAACCGGAGGAAGGUGGGAUGACGUCAAGUCAUCAUGGCCCUUACGGCCUGGGCUACACACGUGCUACAAUGGUCGGUACAAAGGGUUGCCAAGCCGCGAGGUGGAGCUAAUCCCAUAAAACCGAUCGUAGUCCGGAUCGCAGUCUGCAACUCGACUGCAUGAAGUUGGAAUCGCUAGUAAUCGCGGAUCAGCCAAGCCGCGGUGAAUACGUCCCCGGGCCUU